AAUGAACGCUGGCGGCGCGCCUAAUACAUGCAAGUCGAGCGAGAAGACGUAGCAAUACGUUUGUAAAGCGGCGAACGGGUGAGGAAUACAUGGGUAACCUACCCUAGAGUGGGGAAUAACUAGCCGAAAGGUUAGCUAAUACCGCGUACGCUCCUUGGACUUCGGUUCAGGGAGGAAAGCGAUACCGAGGGUAUCGCGCUCUUGGAUGGGCUCAUGUCCUAUCAGCUUGUUGGUGAGGUAACGGCUCACCAAGGCUUCGACGGGUAGCUGGUCUGAGAGGACGAUCAGCCACACUGGCACUGCGACACGGGCCAGACUCCUACGGGAGGCAGCAGUAAGGAAUAUUGCGCAAUGGGCGAAAGCCUGACGCAGCGACGCCGCGUGGGGGAUGAAGGUCUUCGGAUUGUAAACCCCUUUCGGGAGGGAAGAUGGAAUGGGGUAACCCGAUUCGGACGGUACCUCCAGAAGCAGCCACGGCUAACUUCGUGCC
rnacentral:rRNA from 1 species